rnacentral:rRNA from 1 species
AUGGCGGCGACUUUGCGGCCCUCUCAUCAUCAGUGGGCCGACCUCCUGCCGGAGCUCCUAGGACGGAUCAUUGCCCACCUCCCGCGCCCCGACGACCGUGCCCGCUUCCGUGCCGUGUGCCGUCCAUGGCACCUCGCCGUGCGCCAGCAUAAUCGUCCGCAGCUGCUGUGGAUCAUCUACUCGGAUGGCACCUUUGUCACCUUCCCCGAUCACGGUAUUAACCAUGGGCUAUCCUUCCCCGACGACCUGACCUUGGUUGGCGUGUGUCACAGCUGGCUCGUCUUUUACCGCAUCGCCGACUGGUGGCGUCGUAGCUAUCUCUUGUACAACCCUUUCACCAAAUCAACGGUGCCGCUCCCGGGGCUUGACUAUGCUAUUGACGACACCUCUUACCGGUUCGAGGUCCGGAAGGUAAUCAUGGGGUCGACCAAAGAUGAUAUCGUCGCGGUAACGACCAACAAUUGCAAUUACCCAAUCAUCUUGUGUCGCCCUGGGAAAGCCGGCGCAUGGUGGCCCCAACGGGGCGAGAUGCCAUAUGCGUCCAUAUUUGAUGUCGUGUUCUACAAAGACAACCUAUGUGGGAUCACUAAGAGCAAUGAUCUUGUUGUGAUGGAUAUUGAUCAAGACGACGAGGGAAUCCCCUUUGUUAAGGAUAUUAAGUAUGUUAUCAUGCACCCAUCGGGUGAUGAUGAUAAUGAUGAUGAGGAGGAGCGGGACGAAGAAGACGAGUACAGAGACGACGGAGAAGUGUCGAGCAAUGACGAGGUGGAGUACAACGAGACAUCAACCAUCGACGAGGACGGCGAAGAGUUGGACGAUGCAUCGAUUGUCAACGAUGACUCUGACGAUGAUAAGGUAACAAUGAACAAACUGGCGAACAAGGACAACAACUUUAACAUUGAUGACCACGAAGAAGUAUCGAGCAAUGAGGGUGAAGAAGACGUGGAUGAUGAAGAUUACGAUGAUGAGUCGGGUAUCUUAGGUGAUUCAUUUUUUGAAGGCAUGAUACCAAACGACUCUGACUACAGGGUUCUGGACGGCACUGAGUAUGCACAUGGAGAAGACCUAGAUGGCAUCAUGACCAGUCGACAUCUCUUUGAGUCGAAUGACAAGUUACUCAUGGUAAGGCGGCGAAAAUACGUGCCUUUUCUCUCUCGUCCUUACAAUCUUAAGGUCGAGGUUCUGAAGGCGGACGCCAAUGCCGGCGUAUGGAUUCCUCAUAAGGACGGCGUGCCAGGCAAUGAUGACCAGAGCCUCCGGUGUAGGCGCUGGCAAUGGAAGCCGGCCCGUGGUCGCCGCAUGUUUGGUCUGCGGUGGGCCGAUCUCCCGUCGGAGCUCCUAGGACUGGUCAUCAGCCGCCUCCCCUUCCCCGACGACCAGGCCCGCUUCCGUGCCAUGUGCCGUCCGUGGCACUCGGCUGUGCGCGAGCACGUGCGCCCCGAGCUGCCGUGGAUCAUCCACGCGGAUGGCACUUUCGUCGACUACGACUAUGGUUUUCACCGCCGUGUUCCUUUCCCCGACAACACGAGAUUCAUAGGCGCCCACGGCAGCUGGCUCACGCUCUACCGCACCGAUGCCAACACCGGGCGGCGCAGCUAUCUUCUGCAUAACCCUUUCACCAAGGCCACCGUGCCGCUUCCCGGGCUGGACUCUGUCAUCGGAAAGGUCUCGGACCGCUUCAAGAUCCGGAAGGUUCUCAUGCGGUCUGAUCAAGAUGAUCUUGUCGCCAUGACGACCAACAACAGAAAUUAUCCCAUCAUCAUCUUGUGUCGUCCACGAAAGUACCUCCGCCUCCGGUUCCACCUCUGCACGGUUCCUGCCGGCCUCCCUCACGGCGCUCUUGUCCCGCCCGUUGGAUGCGUCUGCCGUGCAAUCUCCGCUUGGAACACGGAGCGUCGACUCCUUCUUCUCGACAUCAUCGGCUGCGUCUUCGCUCGGCCACGAGCUCGCGGUCCACACCGGCGCCUCUACGUCCGUCGCCCCUGCUGCGGGUUCUGUCCCGCCGCUUUACCAGGGGGCGCCCCAGUCUGCCUUGAUGGCGGGCCUUGCGGCGUCGGCCCCGGCUGCCUCGGUGCUGUCUACACCUCCGGCUGCUCCCACGGUUCCCUUGACUGCCUCCAUGGUGUCCUCACCUCAGGCAGCCUCCUCGAUGGGAUCGCCGCCGCCGCCGCCGUUUCACUUUGGCCAUCUCAUCACCAUCAAGCCGUCGGCCGAUAA